rnacentral:rRNA from 1 species
GACGAACGCUGGCGGCGUGCUUAACACAUGCAAGUCGAACGUGAUUUUUGUGGCAAUUCUUUCGGGAAUGGAAAUGAAAUGAAAGUGGCGAACGGGUGAGUAACACGUGAGCAACCUACCUUACACAGGGGGAUAGCCGUUGGAAACGACGAUUAAUACCGCAUGAGACCACAGAAUCGCAUGAUAUAGGGGUCAAAGAUUUAUCGGUGUAAGAAGGGCUCGCGUCUGAUUAGCUAGUUGGAAGGGUAAAGGCCUACCAAGGCGACGAUCAGUAGCCGGUGUGGGAGGAGGAGCGCCCACUGGAAAAAUGGAACACGGUCCAAAUCCCUAGGGGAGGGGGGGGAGGGAAAUAUGCAACAGGGGGGGGAACCCUGAGGAGUCGACGCCGGGGGAAGAAAGAAGUUGUUCGAAUCGAAAAGCUUGGUCUUAGGAAAAGAAAAUGACGGUAUCAUAGGAGGAAGCCCCGGCUAAUUACGUG